UACGGGGGGGGCAAGCGUUGUUCGGAAUUACUGGGCGUAAAGGGCUCGUAGGCGGCCAACUAAGUCGGACGUGAAAUCCCUCAGCUUAACUGGGGAACUGCGUCCGAUACUGGAUGGCUUGGAUUUGGGAGAGGGAUGCGGAAUUCCAGGUGUAGCGGUGAAAUGCGUAGAUAUCUGGAGGAACACCGGUGGCGAAGGCGGCAUCCUGGACCGAGAUUGACGCUGAGGCGCGAAAGCUAGGGGAGCAAACGGG
rnacentral:rRNA from 1 species